GAUGAACGCUGGCGGCGUGCCUAAUACAUGCCAGUCGAGCGAACGGACGAGAAGCUUGCUUCUCUGAUGUUAGCGGCGGACGGGUGAGUAACACGUGGAUAACCUACCUAUAAGACUGGGAUAACUUCGGGAAACCGGAGCUAAUACCAGAUAAUAUUUUGAACCGCAUGGUUCAAAAGUGAAAGACGGUCUUGCUGUCACUUAUAGAUGGAUCCGCGCUGCAUUAGCUAGUUGGUAAGGUAACGGCUUACCAAGGCAACGAUGCAUAGCCGACCUGGGAGGGUGAUCGGCCACACUGGAACUGAGACACGGUCCAGACUCCUACGGGAGGCAGCAGUAGGGAAUCUUCCGCAAUGGGCGAAAGCCUGACGGAGCAACGCCGCGUGAGUGAUGAAGGUCUUCGGAUCGUAAAACUCUGUUAUUAGGGAAGAACAUAUGUGUAAGUAACUGUGCACAUCUUGACGGUACCUAAUCAGAAAGCCACGGCUAACUACGUG
rnacentral:rRNA from 1 species